rnacentral:rRNA from 1 species
CCUACGGGUGGCAGCAGUGGGGAAUAUUGGGCAAUGGGCGCAAGCCUGACCCAGCAACGCCGCGUGAAGGUAGAAGGCUUUCGGGUUGUAAACUUCUUUUGACAGGGAAGAGCAGAAGACGGUACCUGUCGAAUAAGCCACGGCUAACUACGUGCCGGCAGCCGCGGUAAUCCGUAGGUGGCAAGCGUUGUCCGGAUUUACUGGUUGUAAAGGGCGUGUAGCCGGGCUGCCAAGUCAGAUGUGAAAUCCGGGGGCUCAACGCCCGAACUGCAUGUGAAACUGUUGGUCUUGAGUAUCGGAGAGGCAGGCGGAAUGCCUAGUGUAGCGGUGAAAUGCAUAGAUAGUAGGAGGAACACC